rnacentral:tRNA from 1 species
GGGCGCGUGGUGGAACGGCAGACACAGCGGGCUUAAACCCUGCGGCCUUAUAAGGCAUGAGGGUUCGACUCCCUCCGCGCCCA